UUGCCCUUAGUAACGGCGUAGUGAAGCGGCAACAGCUCAAAUUUGAAAUCUGGCCCUUGGGUCCGAAUUGUAAUUUGUAGAGGAUGAUUUUGGUGCGGUACCUUCCGAGUUCCUUGGAACAGGACGCCUAAGAGGGUGAGAGCCCCGUACCGGUUGGAUGCCUUAGCCUCUGUAAAUCUCCUUCGACGAGUCGAGUAGUUUGGGGAAUGCUGCUCUAAAUGGGAGGGUAAAUUUCUUCUAAAGGCUAAAUACUGGCCAGAGACCGAUAGCGCACAAGUAGAGUGAUCGAAAGAUGAAAAGCACUUUGAAAAGAGGGUUAAAUAGCACGGUGAAAUUGUUGAAAGGGAAGGAUUUAUGACCAGACUUUUUCUGGGCGGAUCAUCCGGUGUUCUCACCGGUGCACUUUGCCCAGUUUAGGCCAGCAUCGAUUUUCGGAGGGGGAUAAAAGCUUUGGGAAUGUGGCUCCUUCUGGAGUGUUAUAGCCCAUUGUAUAAUACCUUUCUGGGGAUCGAGGUUCGCGCUUCUGCAAGGAUGCUGGCGUAAUGGUUAUCAAUCACCCGUCUUGAAACACGGACCAAGGAGUCGAACAUUUGUGCGAGUGUUUGGGUGUUAAACCCUCACGCGUAAUGAAAGUGAACGGAGGUGAGAGCCCUUACGGGUGCAUCAUCGACCGAUCCUGAAGUUUACGGAUGGAUUUGAGUAGGAGCAUAAAUGUUCGGACCCGAAAGAUGGUGAACUAUGCGUGGAUAGGGUGAAGCCAGAGGAAACUCUGGUGGAGGCUCGCAGCGGUUCUGACGUGCAAAUCGAUCGUCAAAUCUGCGCAUGGGGGCGAAAGACUAAUCGAACCAUCUAGUAGCUGGGUUACCGCGA
rnacentral:rRNA from 1 species